rnacentral:rRNA from 1 species
CCUACGGGUGGCAGCAGUGAGGAAUAUUGGUCAAUGGGCGCUAGCCUGAACCAGCCAAGUCGCGUGAAGGAUGAAUGUACUAUGGGUUGUAAACUUCUUUUAUAUGGGAAUAAAGUGCAGUAUGUAUACUGCUAUGCAUGUACCUUAUGAAUAAGGAUCGGCUAACUCCGUGCCAGCAGCCGCGGUAAUACGGAGGAUCCGAGCGUUAUCCGGAUUUAUUGGGUUUAAAGGGUGCGUAGGCGGGUUGGUAAGUUGGUGGUGAAAGUUUGCGGCUCAACCGCAAACUCGCAGUUGAUACUGGCAGCCUUGAGUACAGGAGAAGUAUGCGGAAUGCGUGGUGUAGCGGUGAAAUGCUUAGAUAUCACGAAGAACUCCGAUUGCGAAGGCAGCCUGCUGGACUGUAACUGACGCUGAGGCUCGAAAGUGUGGGUAUCAAACAGGAUUAGAUACCCUUGUAGUC